ACACGGGGAGGCGGCUGAGGCCCAGCAAGAAUUCAAGCUCCGCGGGGGCAGGCCAGCAGUGCUGGGGGACCCGGCGCACCCUCCGCAGCUGCUGGCCCGGGUGCUAAACCCCUCACUGCCCGGGCCGGCGGUGCCGGCGGGCUGCUCUCAGUGCGGGACCUCGGAGCCUGCGCCCACCCGGAACUAGCCGCGUUCAGCCCUGGUUCCCGCCCCCGCCUCUCCCGCCACACCUCUCCACAAGCAGAGGGAGCUGGCUUCAGCCUCAGCCAGCACAGAGAGGGGCCCCCAUAGCGCAGUGGCGGGCUGAAGGGCUCCUUGAGCAUGGCCAGAGUGGACGCCAAGGCUGAGGAGGCGCCGAGAGCCAGUGAGGGCUGCUAGCAUGUUGUCACCUCUCAAUACAUAAAACUACUGGAGGGUGGUUCCAAGAUGGCCAAAUAGGAACAGCUCCAGUCUACAGCUCCCAGCAUGAGUGAUGCAGAAGACGAAUGAUUUCUGCAUUUCCAACUCAGAGAGCUGACUUUAGAGGGAUCAAGAAUAGCUUGCUGGAUGGAAGGAGCUUCAAGCCCACCCUUCUAUAUUCUUUAAUUGAUGCUGAGACUGGGCCCUUGCAAACAAGUUGGCUUUGCCAACUGGCUCCCUAUGAGGCUUUGCCAUUGGGGGAUGCUAAAUGGAGAAGACGUGCUCCUUCCUGUUUCCUCUGGGUUUCCUGUUUCUGUGACCAUCACCCAGCCUCACUUCUUUCCCAAACCUGGAACCAGUACUUGAUUCCAGGUGCAGCCAUGGACUCCAACCAGUUGUUUUUCCAACACUCACAGAAUCUGCUUUCUCUCGUCUCCAACUCCUGAAACACCAGCCCCACAGCUGAGAUGCUCCCUUGCUCAGAGGUUUGAGUUUUGCAGCUCCCUGCAGGCCCACUUUCUAAGUUUUAAUACAUCUAGUCUCUUCUCUUUGCUUCCAGAGCCUUAAGGUUGGUAGUUGCUUCCUGUAAUUGUAACCUCUGUGAUAUCUUAAUGUUUCCCUUUUGAAUGUUCUGCUCUUCAAUAUCUAGUUAACAGUUCUUUAUGGUACCCUAUUUCUGUCUUUUUACCAGACCUGACUGACACAGGCUCUCCCAAGAUGGAGAAUAAAGGGGAAACUCAUGAAUUUCUAUGUCAUUCAGGAAUGACACUGAGGCCUUCAUUAUGUGGGGAUGGUGAGAAUAUAGGGGAAGAGGUACAUUUGACAAAUGUCAGGUGGGAAGGAACCAAUAGGACUUGAUGAUUAGAAACAGGGAGUGAAGACAGAGGACAGUAUAAUAGGUGAAGUUUCCAUCCUGGUGGUUGGGAAAAUGAUAUUGCUUUAGAAUACUGGGAAAGUUGGGAAAAGAAAUAAGUCCAGGUAAGGGACGUGCAAGUGGAGAUAUUUUAAAGGCAUGUGUUAAAGAGGAACUGAAAUUCAAGGGAGAACUGGAGAGAUGACCUCAACUGUGAGCAUGGAGACAGUGGCUUAGUUCCCUGAGGAUGUGAGGAUGGAACAGCAGUUGCCAGGUAACUUGCAGAAAGGAGCUUAGUCUAAAGUCCAGCAUGUGGCCUCCUGCCCAUAACAAACACAGAUAACCUUCUUUUUAAUAACCUGUACAGGUUAGGAAGAAUAGGAACUACAGGACCACUAUUUUAACUAGAAGAAGAUAUUAGUGAUUAUUUGAGAUUCUGUCAUUGCUUGCAUAAGCAAACUUCACUUCUGGGUGAGUCAAUCGAAUGGAGUGUCAAUGAACAAUGUUACCUUUAAUUUUUUUAUGAUGGAAGCAGAUGAGCAAGCUACAUAAACAGCCACUUUACAUGAGCAGAAGACUAUGAAGCUUGUUGUCAUCAAAUAAAACGCACAGCAAAGCUCAUCUGACACACGUUUGAUAAUAUUCACGGUUAUUAUUGUGCUACACUGUAAUUAGGCACAGGUGCUAAGCAGUUCUUGUAAAAUAUUGUAAUUCAUAUUGAUGAAAGUCAAACCAACUUUUUAUACUUUUUACUUUUUAACUUUAUCUAAAAUGGAUCUCAGCAGUUUUCAUUGAUACCAUGUACCAUCAAUUAAAAUCCAUCUGUCAAACAUGUAUUGAGUUGUUAUUAUUUUCCAGGUACUGUGCUGGGCUCUGGGGCAUAAAAAUAUGAACAGAAUUGCCAAAAGUUGAGUUUAUGUGUGCACUUAAAUCUGAGCACAUGUACGCUCCUGAGUGAUCCACACGUUUCUGCAUAAUGAUCCUGUAUCCUGUACUCUGCAUUCUCCUUGAGUAAAAGUACAACUUCCUCUGAUAUCAUUUCUUGCUUCAGUUGACAACCUUACUCCUCCCAUGCCUGCCUUUUUCCAGCCCUCUGUGGGGCAUUGAGGGGUUCUCCACCAGCAUUUCCCAUUCUAACUUUUCUGGAGGGUAGGUGUCUUGACACGAGAGAACUCGGGCUCAUGACGUCGGAAUAAUAGACACACGGUAGAUUGGAUGGCAUGGGCAAUAGAGAAACACAGGAAGAAGGGGCCUUUCCUCCGUAGAAAUGGACUGUCUUACAGAAGGGAGAGGUAAAGGUUAGGAGCAAGAGCCUAUGUCAGGGCUGGGAAAAUAGCUGGGAGCUGACUAGGAUAGGACACGUGCUUGAGUAGGACGGUUUCCUUCCCGAAGAAACUAUCACCCAGCAACUCUAGGGGAGGGGCCCUGAGUAACAGAAGCUGGUAUAGUCUCUAACCUGUUCUCCCAAAUAAGACAGAAGAACAUAUUUGAGAGAGAUGCUGAAGAACAUUGCCCCCUUCUUUUGGCCCCUCAUGAAUCAGUCCGGAUAGGUUAAAUAAUGUUGCUGUAAUAAACAACCUUCAGGUCUUAGUGGUGCAGUACUACAAAGAUGUAUGUCUCCCUUAGUUUGCGCACCCAUCGUAGGAUGGCUAGGUGCUUUGCUCCAUGUCCUCCUCACUCAGGAUGCAAGCUGACAGAACCUCCACUAUCUGGGAACAUCAUUGAUUUCUCAGUCAAGGGGAAGGAAAGGGCAAAUCACACACUGGCUCUUAAAGGUUCUACCCAGAAAUGCAUAAGUCAUUUCAUUCACAUGUCAUUGUGAAUGUGUAAAUGGUAAAGCAAGUCACACACAUGAUAAUGCCAUUCUUCAAGGUGGCAGAGAAGUACACUUCUACUAUUUGCCCAGAAGUAAGAGUGCUAGAAACAUCCUUCCUAAGAUACCUAUGCAUUAUGCAAUGGGUUACUGGUGAUUCUUAAGGAGCAACUACAUGGGUAGUAAUAGUGUGAUUUUCCAGGGUCACUGGAAUGAGAAUCUUCCACUGUCCUUGAAAUAUCUUUUUUACCUACUCUAUGAUGCAUGGAGUUCCUUUAAUAGCACAUAGUAUUGUGUGUAUUAAGUAAGGAAGUCUUAAAAUACCUAAUUAAUAAUGCUUGUUUAUAUGGUUACAAAUCUGGUCCUUUGUGUUUUGCUAAAAGGGAAGGGCUCUCUACAGGGCAUGAAAGACAAGGUGCUCUGCUGCGUACUGUGCAUUUCUAAUAUGCGAGG
rnacentral:lncRNA from 1 species